AUUGAACGCUGGCGGCAGGCCUAACACAUGCAAGUCGAGCGAGUGGCGGACGGGUGAGUAAUGUAUGGGGAACUGCCCGAUAGAGGGGGAUAACUACUGGAAACGGUGGCUAAUACCGUAUACUAUCGGAUGAACCCAUAUGGGAUUAGCUAGUAGGUGGGGUAAAGGCUCACGUAGGCGACGAUCCCUAGCUGGUCUGAGAGGCUGAACAGCAACACUGUGACUGAGAAACGGCCCAGACUCCUACGGGAGGUAGCAGUGGGUAAGAUUGCACAAUGGGCGCAAGCCUGAUGCAGACAUGCCGCGUGUAUGAAGAAGGCCUUAGGGUUGUAAGGUACUUUCAGCGGGGAGGCGUUACCCGCAGAAGAAGCACCGGCUAACUCCGUGCCAGCAGCCGCGGUAAUAC
rnacentral:rRNA from 1 species